GAACGCGAAGAACCUUACCAAGGCUUGACAUGCACGGCGGCACUGCAGAGAUGUGGUGGCAUUUAGUUGGUCGUGUGCAGGUGGUGCAUGGUUGUCGUCAGCUCGUGUCGUGAGAUGUCGGGUUAAGUCCCGCAACGAGCGCAACCCUUGCCCUAUGUUGCCAGCACGUGAUGGUGGGGACUCGUGGGGGACUGCCGGGGUUAACUCGGAGGAAGGUGGGGAUGACGUCAAAUCAUCAUGCCCCUUAUGUCUUGGGCUUCACGCAUGCUACAAUGGUUGGUACAGAGGGUUGCGAAAUCGUGAGGUGGAGCGAAUCCCUUAAAGCCAGUCUCAGUUCGGAUUGGGGUCUGCAACUCGACCCCAUGAAGGUGGAGUCGCUAGUAAUCGCAGAUCAGCAACGCUGCGGUGAAUACGUUCUCGGGUCUUGUACACACC
rnacentral:rRNA from 1 species